rnacentral:rRNA from 1 species
GACGAACGCUGGCGGCGUGCUUAACACAUGCAAGUCGAGCGGAAAGGCCACUUCGGUGGUACUCGAGCGGCGAACGGGUGAGUAACACGUGAGUAAUCUGCCCCUGGCUUUGGGAUAGCCACCGGAAACGGUGAUUAAUACCGGAUAUGACCACUUCUCGCAUGGGUUGUGGUGGAAAGUUUUUCGGCCAGGGAUGUGCUCGCGGCCUAUCAGCUUGAUGGUGAGGUAAUGGCUCACCAUGGCUUCGACGGGUAGCCGGCCUGAGAGGGUGACCGGUCACACUGGGACUGAGACACGGCCCAGACUCCUACGGGAGGCAGCAGUGGGGAAUAUUGGACAAUGGGCGGAAGCCUGAUCCAGCAACGCCGCGUGAGGGAUGACGGCCUUCGGGUUGUAAAUCUCUUUCAGUACCGACGAAGCGCAAGUGACGGUAGGUACAGAAGAAGCACCGGCCAACUACGUGCCAGCCGCCGCGGUAAAAC